rnacentral:misc_RNA from 1 species
GAUGAAGAACGUAGCGAAAUGCGAUAAGUAGUGUGAAUUGCAGAAUUCAGUGAAUCAUCGAAUCUUUGAACGCACAUUGCGCCCCUUGGUAUUCCAUGGGGCAUGCCUGUUCGAGCGUCAUUUGUACCCUCAAGCUUUGCUUGGUGUUGGGCGUCUUGUCGUAUUACGACUCGCCUUAAAUACAUUGGCAGCCGGCACUUUGGCCUAGGAGCGCGGCACAUUUUGCGAUCGUAGCCCGUUGUACUGGCGUCCAUCAAGAACAUUUACCACGUUUGACCUCGGAUCAGGUAGGGAUACCCGCUGAACUUAAGCAUAUCAAUAAGCGGAGGA